rnacentral:rRNA from 1 species
UACGAAGGACCCGAGCGUUAUCCGGAUUUAUUGGGUUUAAAGGGUGCGUAGGCGGCCCGUUAAGUCAGUGGUGAAAGCCUCCAGCUCAACUGGAGAACUGCCAUUGAUACUGGCGGGCUUGAGUACAGACGAGGUAGGCGGAAUUGAUUGUGUAGCGGUGAAAUGCAUAGAUACAAUCAAGAACUCCGAUUGCGUAGGCAGCUUACUAGGCUGUAACUGACGCUGAGGCACGAAAGCGUGGGGAGCGAACAGG